AUGUUUCCAUAUGAACCUAGCCAAAUUGAACUACCUCCAAGAGAAUGGCAAAAAUUAAUUAAAGAAAGAAUACAUGAACUAAAAAAGCAAAAACGUGCAAAUAAAGAGAUACACAUACGCAAGGAUAAACUGGAAAAGGGAAAAGACCGGAAAACAACAAUAUACUCCGAAGUUGGUAUAAAUAUAAGCACUUCAAAUAGUAAAUUAUAUAUAUAUACAUGAGCAUAUGGAUAGACACUCAUAUACAUAUGUGUACAUAUUGAAAAAAAAAAAAAAAAAAAAAAAAGAGAUUUUUUUCUUAUUUAAUAACUAAACCACUAGCAACAACUUUGUUUUCUUCAGACAAAAUAAAACGAGAUAAGGGAGAAAUGGCCA
rnacentral:lncRNA from 1 species